UCAUUUAUUUUUUCUUUCUUCUAGUGGGUCGGAGGUCGCUUCUCCUUGUGGUCUGCUAUUGGAAUGGCCAUUGCUUUGCAUAUUGGCUUUGACAAUUUUGAGAAACUUUUGUCAGGAGCCCACUGGAUGGACAAACACUUCCGUUCUGCUCCCCUGGAUAAAAACGCCCCCGUGUUACUGGCUUUACUGGGCAUCUGGUACAUCAACUUCUUCCACGCUGAGACACACACUAUGCUGCCCUAUGACCAGUACAUGCACCGUUUUACUGCAUACUUCCAACAGGGAGACAUGGAAUCAAAUGGAAAGUACAUCACCAACCAUGGAGCUCGAGUCAAUUACCACACAGGACCCAUAGUGUGGGGGGAGCCGGGAACAAAUGGGCAGCACGCCUUCUACCAGCUCAUCCACCAAGGAACACGAAUGGUCCCAGCUGACUUCCUGAUCCCAGCUCAGACUCAGCAUCCCAUCAGAGACAACCUGCAUCACAAGAUUUUGUUAGCCAACUUUCUGGCGCAGACAGAAGCAUUGAUGAAGGGUAAAACCACAGAGGAGGCCAGGAAGGAGCUGGAGGCAAGUGGCCUGAGCGGAGAGGCUUUGGAGAAAAUUUUACCUCACAAGGUUUUCCAAGGAAAUCGACCAACCAACUCCAUCAUCUUCAAGAAACUUACACCCUAUACACUCGGAGCACUAAUAGCCAUGUAUGAGCACAAAAUCUUUGUCCAGGGUGUAAUGUGGGAGAUCAACAGCUUUGACCAGUGGGGAGUCGAACUGGGUAAGCAGCUUGCAAAGAAGAUUGAGCCAGAACUCAAGGACACCGCAGAGGUCCACUCCCACGACUCAUCCACCAACGGACUCAUCAACUUCCUCAAGAAAAAUUUUGCCUAAGUUUGAAUCGUUCCUUUGAACGUGAUUACCCUUCAGAUCAGUUCAGGAUCUGCCUGGACGAGAGUCUCGCUGAGGCAGCUGGUCUCUCCCACGCAGCCGAGCCGAAGCCCUCCAUGUUUGUGCUCCCAUUAUGAAUAUUGUGACUGUCUACAGUUCUGCCUUUGCUGUGUUACAAGUGUAGUGAGUUGUUGCUGCAGGCAGAAUGAAUCAUUCUCUCAUUGUCUCUACUGCCGCAGGAAUUUGUGUUUUUGAAAUAAAUAUCCUUUAUCUGAUCCUCAGUUGCACUCUCAAGGCAGAGUUGCUCAGUAUUCACCUACAGCAUGAGCAAAUGAGCCAAAAGUGCGUCAGAAAAUAGGCCGUCACUAGAUGUCACCAGAGAGCCUGGUUUAUUUCCUGGGAGGUCCCCAGACUCCGCAGCAGCAUCCAUUUAGAGAGGAAAAACAAACAGCAUCUGGAUCACAAUCCACUCUUCAUUGGCACUUCAUCUAAACAUCAUUAAAGUAAAUGGUUUGAAAAC